rnacentral:rRNA from 1 species
GACGGAGGGUGCAAACGUUGUUCGGAAUCAUUGGGCGUAAAGGGCGCGUAGGCGGCCACGUUAGUCAGCUGUGAAAUCCCUCGGCUCAACCCAGGAACUGCGUCCGAUACUGGUUGGCUUGAAUCCGGGAGAGGGAUGCGGAAUUCCAGGUGUAGCGGUGAAAUGCGUAGAUAUCUGGAGGAACACCGGUGGCGAAGGCGGCAUCCUGGACCGGCAUUGACGCUGAGGCGCGAAAGCCAGGGGAGCAAACGGG